UACAGAGGUCUCAAGCGUUGCUCGGAAUCACUGGGCGUAAAGGGUGCGUAGGCGGCCGUGCAAGUCUGGCGUGAAAGCCCCGGGCUCAGCCCGGGAAGUGCGCUCGAAACUGCGCGGCUCGAGUGCCGGAGGGGAGAGUGGAAUUCCCGGUGUAGCGGUGAAAUGCGCAGAUAUCGGGAGGAACACCGGUGGCGAAGGCGGUUCUCUGGACCUUACCUGACGCUGAGGAGCGAAAGCGUGGGGAGCGAACAGG
rnacentral:rRNA from 1 species